AAAUCAUCAUGCCCCUUAUGCUUAGGGCUACACACGUGCUACAAUGGGUAGUACAGAGGGUUGCCAAGCCGUAAGGUGGAGCUAAUCCCUUAAAGCUACUCUUAGUUCGGAUUGUAGGCUGAAACUCGCCUACAUGAAGCUGGAGUUACUAGUAAUCGCAGAUCAGAAUGCUGCGGUGAAUGCGUUCCCGGGUCUUGUACACACCGCCCGUCACCCC
rnacentral:rRNA from 1 species